GAUGAACGCUAGCUACAGGCUUAACACAUGCAAGUCGAGGGGCAGCAUGGACAUAGCUUGCUAUGUUUGAUGGCGACCGGCGCACGGGUGCGUAACACGUAUCCAAUCUGCCCGUUACUCGGGGAUAGCCUUCUGAAAGGAAGAUUAAUACCCGAUGGCAUGUAUUUCCGGCAUCGGAGAUACAUUAAAGAUUUAUCGGUAACGGAUGAGGAUGCGUACGAUUAGCUUGUUGGCGGGGUAACGGCCCACCAAGGCGACGAUCGUUAGGGGUUCUGAGAGGAAGGUCCCCCACACUGGAACUGAGACACGGUCCAGACUCCUACGGGAGGCAGCAGUGAGGAAUAUUGGUCAAUGGUCGGAAGACUGAACCAGCCAAGUAGCGUGAAGGAUGACUGCCCUACGGGUUGUAAACUUCUUUUGUUUGGAGCAAUAAGUCUCACGUGUGGGAUGAUGAGAGUACCUUACGAAUAAGCAUCGGCUAACUCCGUGCCAG
rnacentral:rRNA from 1 species